rnacentral:rRNA from 1 species
AGACCCGAAACCCGGUGAUCUAGCCAUGGGCAGGUUGAAGGUUGGGUAACACUAACUGGAGGACCGAACCGACUAAUGUUGAAAAAUUAGCGGAUGACCUGUGGCUGGGGGUGAAAGGCCAAUCAAACCGGGAGAUAGCUGGUUCUCCCCGAAAGCUAUUUAGGUAGCGCCUCGUGAAUUCAUCUCCGGGGGUAGAGCACUGUUUCGGCUAGGGGGCCAUCCCGGCUUACCAACCCGAUGCAAACUGCGAAUACCGGAGAAUGUUAUCACGGGAGACACACGGCGGGUGCUAACGUCCGUCGUGAAGAGGGAAACAACCCAGACCGCCAGCUAAGGUCCCAAAGUCAUGGUUAAGUGGGAAACGAUGUGGGAAGGCCCAGACAGCCAGGAUGUUGGCUUAGAAGCAGCCAUCAUUUAAAGAAAGCGUAAUAGCUCACUGGUCGAGUCGGCCUGCGCGGAAGAUGUAACGGGGCUAAACCAUGCACCGAAGCUGCGGCAGCGACACUCAGGUGUUGUUGGGUAGGGGAGCGUUCUGUAAGCCUGUGAAGGUGGCCUGUGAGGGUUGCUGGAGGUAUCAGAAGUGCGAAUGCUGACAUAAGUAACGAUAAAGCGGGUGAAAAGCCCGCUCGCCGGAAGACCAAGGGUUCCUGUCCAACGUUAAUCGGGGCAGGGUGAGUCGACCCCUAAGGCGAGGCCGAAAGGCGUAGUCGAUGGGAAACGGGUUAAUAUUCCCGUACUUGGUGUUACUGCGAAGGGGGGACGGAGAAGGCUAUGUUGGCCGGGCGACGGUUGUCCCGGUUUAAGCGUGUAGGUGUGUGUUCCAGGUAAAUCCGGUUCACUUUAACACUGAGGCGUGAUGACGAGGCACUACGGUGCUGAAGCAACAAAUGCCCUGCUUCCAGGAAAAGCCUCUAAGCAUCAGGUAACAUCAAAUCGUACCCCAAACCGACACAGGUGGUCAGGUAGAGAAUACCAAGGCGCUUGAGAGAACUCGGGUGAAGGAACUAGGCAAAAUGGUGCCGUAACUUCGGGAGAAGGCACGCUGACACGUAGGUGAAGU